rnacentral:rRNA from 1 species
CCUACGGGUGGCAGCAGUCGAGAAUCAUUCACAAUGGGGGAAACCCUGAUGGUGCGACGCCGCGUGGGGGAAUGAAGGUCUUCGGUUUGUAAACCCCUGUCAUGUGGGCGCAAAUUAAAAAGAUAGUACCUCAAUAGGAAGAGACGGCUAACUCUGUGCCAGCAGCCGCGGUAAUACAGAGGUCUCAAGCGUUGUCCGGAAUCACUGGGCGUAAAGCGUUCGUAGGCUGUUUCGUAAGUCGUGUGUGAAAGGCGCGGGCUCAACCCGCGGACGGCACAUGAUACUGCGAGACUAGAGUAAUGGAGGGGGAACCGGAAUUCUCGGUGUAGCAGUGAAAUGCGUAGAUAUCGGGAGGAACACUCGUGGCGAAGGCGGGUUCCUGGACAUUAACUGACGCUGAGGCACGAAGGCCAGGGGAGCGAAAGGGAUUAGAUACCCUAGUAGUC